AGGAUGAAAUCCCAAGAUGAUGAAGGAGUGCCCCUUCAACCUGAAGCACUUGCUCAGCUAGGAACCGAAUUCAAGAGGAAGGUGAUUUAGACACUGCGUAUUCAUGAUCCACAGAAAAAUAGAAAACAUGGAGCCCCACAGCCCAAGCAGAGCCACACAGACAAGCAACCAAAAGAAAAGGAUGAAAUCCCAAAAUGAGGGAGGAGUGUCCCCUCACAAUGGUGUAGCACCUGCUCAGCUGGGAAUUGAAUUUGAGGUGAAGUUGUGGGAUCUCAUCCAAUUCCCACCAGAUUUUAUCCUCACUCUUGUCUGACCUUAUUGUUGCUCACACUCUAUGUCC
rnacentral:lncRNA from 1 species